UACGUAGGGGGCAAGCGUUAUCCAGAUUUACUGGGCGUAAAGCGCGUGUAGGCGGCUGGUUAGGUGUGAUGUGAAAUCUUCGGGCUCAACCCGAAAGCUGCAUUGCAAACCGGCCUGGCUAGAGUGCAGGAGAGGGAAGCGGAAUUCCAGGUGUAGCGGUGAAAUGCGCAGAUAUCAGGAGGAACACCGGUGGCGAAGGCGGGUCUCUGGGCCGAUACUGACACUGAGGAGCGAAAGCCAGGGGAGCAAACGGG
rnacentral:rRNA from 1 species